rnacentral:ncRNA from 2 species
UUAAAAACUUUAGCGCCAUGUACCCUGUGAUACAGCUUUCGCGGAAGCAAUGUGCAAAUGUGAUACAGCUUUCGCUGCACCACAAGGGUUAACGAGGAUUCAGGUGAUCGAAGAUUCGGCGGAUGCCUGAACGCAGAAAGGGGCUGCGCAUACGAAUCACAAACAGGAUGGUAACAUCCGAACAAAGGAUUCGUACCCCGAUG